rnacentral:lncRNA from 11 species
AGUUGAAGUCCAAAACACCUCGAAGGCCCAAAUUUGCCCACGCCUGGAACAAAUAAUAUACUUUAACUUCUUAAACUUUCUGCACUGGCAACCCCUUUCCAUCCAACAAUGUUUUCAUGGCCCCAGGUCUAUAGGUAUACAAAUAAAAUAGAUAUAAAAAUGAAACAUUUACUGCAGCCUAGGCCAGGCAAAGCCGGAGAAAAGUCGGCCCUGCUUUUUUGAAAGCUGUGUCAUUGAAAACCCGCACUAGUUGGCCUCCAGGUGAAGGAAGCCAAAAAAUCCUCUCAGGAGAAGACCCCGCGGAGGGAUCCACUUGAGCCCCCUCACCUGGUCCACGUAAUCAGGAACUUCCUCGACGCUGCGGAAGGAGCUCUCGUUGGGCGUGAGCACAUAAAAGGCAGCUCGGCACUGCUGCGAAAAGGCGAGAGACCGCGGAGGGUUACUUUCUUUCAUCCUUAUUGCUCACUCUCUUUACUCUGGAAGUGGGUUUGCUGAAGACUGACGUUGUAAAACAUGAUGUAUAGGUACCUAAAAGUGUCAUUGAUAUCUUUGGUUGUUUGUCUCUCUCUCUUAGUUGCAUAGUCGUUUCCGACUCUUGUUUGUAAGAUACUCCAUAAAUCUCAAAUGACGAAUAGUUUGAUACCAGCUUCAAUCCAGUGCAAAAUACAUAGGAAUUGUGUUUCUGUUGGUCUGUGUGCCCAAUAAAUGUGGAAAUCUGUGUUCCUUGUA